AUCUGGUACAACAACACCACUACACCGCUCUUUCUUUUCCUUAUCUCAAUUUAAGAGGGUUUCACGGCAUUAAGAACCAUUACAGCUUCAACAACGAUUUCUCCUUUGUAAAUUUCUGAUUUUCUUCUUCCAAUUUGGGAUUUCCUCUUUCCCAUCACUCUUUUUGGACGAGCCUGAAGAUUUUGUUCAAGCUUUCUAUUCCAGCCGAUCUAUCUAUACUUUCAUUAUAUUCUGGCUAAUGUGGCUAUGAAUGAAAGAAUUAUCAAUUUGGAAUUGUGAAAAACUGCAGGUCAAGAAGAUUAUAGGAGGUCAUUUGGCUAGCUGUAGAGUUCAAACAGGUAUUUUCACCAUAAUUCACUUACUUAAUUGCUUUAUCUGAUUUAAAUUCCCGGCUUCUAAAGGCCAUGGGCAAGAACUUUCCAAUACCAUCUGUAGAUUAUACGUUCUACUACAUUAUAGAAGCCUUGGCAUAACAGGUAAAGUUAUUGCUAUGUAAUCAGGAAGUCAAAAUUUGAGCCGUAAAAACAAUCUCCUACAAAAAGAAUCGACUCCGUUAAAGUAGUUCAUGCGGAUGUGUAUAUGGUGAGUGUGAAAUGUUGUUUUCAUUUCAUGAAAUUUGCAAGGAAAACGGAGUUUUUUUGGUGAUUUUUUCCCCAGUUGAUGGAUUAGAGGCUUUAUGUUUUUUGAAGUAUGAAUAAAAGUUUUAGGGCAGAGGAAUCGGCGUAAAGGAAACUGUAACAACAAAUGGCGAUAAAUUUGAUGCUCUGCUUGGAAAAUGCUGGUGGUAAUCUCUUCUCUUUUCAUCAAAAAUUUGGAACACGAAGAGCUAUCAUCUAGGCAGAGAAACAAAUACACAGAAGAAAGACACACAGGAAGAUGGGAGUUAACACAGACCUGUUUUCCCUCAAAUAGCCUAAUCUCACUUUUACGUGCGUCAGUUUUUCAUUAGUUGUACACUAAAAGAAUUUCACUAUACCUUCGUUUUCCUCCAGCUUUGCUCCUUUAUAGCCAUUUCGCGUAUCUAUAACAACUACAUCAACUAUUACUAUUAGUACGGGCCUCACCUAUCUAGUAUAAAAACAAU